rfam:Vitrella brassicaformis CCMP3155 genome assembly, contig: scaffold262
GGUGACAUGUCCGAGUGGUCUAAGGAGCCAGACUCAAGUUCUGGUAGACCUAGUCUGCGUGAGUUCGAACCUCACUGUCACCA